CCGUAUCUCUUAUUUUCUCUUCGUCUGUCCUGUAUCAAAUUUCAAUGAGUCAUGGAUAGCAGGAGUGUGGCUAAACUAUACCUCUAUCAGUGCUGUUAAACACUGCUGUGGACUCAAGAAGAGACUUUGGAAGCUACGGAAGCAGCUGUAAAGAAUAAUAGAAAAAAGAGAAUAUUAUAGUCAUUAGUUUUGCUAAGUGAGCAUAGAAGGACACAGCAUACCUGUGGAGCUGAAAUUGUAUUUUGGAGCAUCACCUUGGGAAAGACUGUGUUUGAUUUUUUUUUAUUCUCUAAAACAUAUCUUGCAUGGAUACUGUGGUUUCAUCCUCCGUCUCUUCAUCCACACCUCAAGAUAGUUCUCUAUCUGGUUUGGCUCUGUCGUCGUCCCGCCGCACCUCCCAUUACAACAAUAAUGGUGGUCUGGGCUACAUCUUUGGAGAAGCCUGGAAUCAUUUCCGUCCGUUCCUGCCAUUCUUCCUGAUUUCCUGCCUGGUGGUGGUACUGGUCUAUUUGCUGCAGACAAUUGUAUAUGGAGGGCCCUUCACUGAUCCACAAUUUUUCAGCAAGUUUGAUCAACGAUGGCCACCACCAGACCCACCAAACACAUAAGCUUUUUGGGAAUUCCAGGGAAAGCAAUCAGACUAUCACUACCUGAACCAGUUUUGAAUUUACAUAAGAAAACCAGAUUAUAAGGCUAUAUCAUAUUUUCAUCUCCAGACACGAAGAUCACAGCAAAAAACUGAUGUAAGCCAUGAUUUUAUGAGUCACAAUUCACAAUAUAAAGGAGGACAUGUU